CCUACGGGAGGCAGCAGUGGGGAAUAUUGCACAAUGGGGGGAACCCUGAUGCAGCGACGCCGCGUGAGCGAUGAAGUAUUUCGGUAUGUAAAGCUCUAUCAGCAGGGAAGAAAAUGACGGUACCUGACUAAGAAGCCCCGGCUAACUACGUGCCAGCAGCCGCGGUAAUACGUAGGGGGCAAGCGUUAUCCGGAUUUACUGGGGGGAAAGGGAGCGUAGACGGCUGUGCAAGUCUGGAGUGAAAGGCAUGGGCUCAACCUGUGGACUGCUUUGGAAACGGUGCGGCUUGAGUGUUGGAGAGGCAAGUGGAAUUCCUAGUGUAGCGGUGAAAUGUGUAGAUAUUAGGAGGAACACCAGUGGCGAAGGCGGCUUGCUGGACGAUGACUGACGUUGAGGCUCGAAAGCGUGGGGAGCAAACAGGAUUAGAUACCCCUGUAGUC
rnacentral:rRNA from 1 species